GUCUCAGUUCGGAUUGAAGGUUGAAAUUCGCCUUCCAUGAAGCCGGAACUGCUAGUAAUGGCAGGUCAGCAUACUGCCGUGAAUACGUUCCCGGGCCCUUGUACACACCGCCCGUCACACCAUGAGAGUUGGAGAUACCCGAAGCCUGUGAGCUAACAAACGAGGCAGCAGUCGAAGGUAGAAUCAAUGAUUGGGGUGAAGUCGUAACAAGGUAUC
rnacentral:rRNA from 1 species